rnacentral:rRNA from 1 species
AACGAACGCUGGCGGCAGGCUUAACACAUGCAAGUCGAACGCCCCGCAAGGGGAGUGGCAGACGGGUGAGUAACGCGUGGGAACAUACCCUUUCCUGCGGAAUAGCUCUGGGAAACUGGAAUUAAUACCGCAUACGCCCUACGGGGGGAAAGAUCUAUCGGGGAAGGAUUGGCCCGCGUUGGAUUAGCUAGUUGGUGGGGUAAAGGCCUACCAAGGCGACGAUCCAUAGCUGGUCUGAGAGGAUGAUCAGCCACAUGGGGACUGAGACACGGCCCAAACUCCUACGGGAGGCAGCAGUGGGGAAUAUUGGACAAUGGGCGCAAGCCUGAUCCAGCCAUGCCGCGUGAGUGAUGAAGGCCUUAGGGUUGUAAAGCUCUUUCACCGAUGAAGAUAAUGACGGUAGUCGGAGAAGAAGCCCCGGCUAACUUCGUGCCAGCCGCCGCCGUAACAC